UACGUAGGGUGCAAGCGUUGUCCGGAAUUACUGGGCGUAAAGAGUUCGUAGGCGGUUUGUCACGUCGUUUUGUGAAAACUCACAGCUCAACUGUGAGCCUGCAGGCGAUACGGGCAGACUUGAGUACUGCAGGGGAGACUGGAAUUCCUGGUGUAGCGGUGAAAUGCGCGGAUAUCAGGAGGAACACCGGUGGCGAAGGCGGGUCUCUGGGCAGUAACUGACGCUGAGGAACGAAAGCAUGGGGAGCGAAACAGG
rnacentral:rRNA from 1 species